rnacentral:lncRNA from 1 species
CUUAGUUGCGUUACAGGCAUUUUGUAAACAGGGCAUAACUGGGCAUAUAAAUUUUAAAACUGUCCACCGCGCAUUUGCGCGGUGAUCUCCUCCUAGUUAACAUAUCUAGUCUAUGCGCGAAUGCCAUCGUUUCCAAUUGAGUUUUAAUUGCUGACGUGGCACAAUUUUAUUGGCCAAUUGGUGGUCGUCCUCCGUUGAUUGAGCUGAUGAAUUGAAUUGAGGACAAAAUCGAGAUUUCACGCCUUAAUAAAUAGGUAGGGUUACUGAGAGUCUUUGCUUGUUCCUUCAGCUUGCGCCGCUUGUUCUACCAGUCUCCUCACCUCCCUUUUUCCAAAACACCUCUAUUUCCUUUUGUCUCAUCCGAGAGUAUGACUGACCGCCUCCAUUCCUUCCAUGGAUUUCCUCCAUUUUUUUCUCUGAAAAAAAGAAAAGAAACAGACUAACAACACACCGCAUCUAUUCUCCCUUUCUUCUAUAAUUUUCCCCUCUUUUAAAGAUUAUUCGAAAAAAAAUGAUGCUCAAAACCCACCUUUUAUUCUCUCUCUUUGUUGCCCUUUUUGUCUCCUUACUCUGAGAUAGGAGAACCUCGAAAAUUUGGUCGAUCUUGUUUGCUCAACUGCUCACAUUUGGAUUUUCUUUUUCUGUUUCUGAUCUCCAUUCCUUUUCCUCAUAAACCUAUGAUUUUUUCCCUCUUUCUACACAGAAAAAUUUCUAUUUUCUCUCAAUUAUUUUUCUCUUUAUUGGGACAUAAUUACCUUGGAGAUCUUUCUUAUCUGAUUUAUUUUCGAUCCGUUGAUCUCGCCAUUUUUUAGUUUCAAAAUUUUCCUUAUUUUGACUGAUUUUCUUUAUUCUCUAAGCAAUUUCAUGUUCACAUGAUGUUUAUUUUUCUCAUGGCUUUUUUGACUAUGAUAAUUUUUUGUUAUGGAAUUUUUUUGUGAUUAUCUCAGGUUUAAAAAAACACAAGGAAGGCCACUGAAGGAGGAAUUACAGUUAGUAUCUUGCCUUUUCAUUUUUUUGGGUUAUUUGUUUUUCUCUUUAUUGGGACAUAAUUACCUUGGAGAUCUUUCUUAUCUGAUUUAUUUUCGAUCCGCUGAUCUAGCCAUUUUUUAGUUUUAAAAUUUUCCUUUAUUUUGACUGAUUUUCUUUAUUCUCUAAUCAAUUUCAUGUUUGUUUCAGGG